rnacentral:rRNA from 1 species
GAUGAACGCUGGCGGCGUGCCUAAUACAUGCAAGUCGAGCGAACAGACGAGGAGCUUGCUCCUCUGGCGUUAGCGGCGGACGGGUGAGUAACACGUGGAUAACCUACCUAUAAGACUGGGAUAACUUCGGGAAACCGGAGCUAAUACCGGAUAAUAUAUUGAACCGCAUGGUUCAAUAGUGAAAGACGGUUUUGCUGUCACUUAUAGAUGGAUCCGCGCCGCAUUAGCUAGUUGGUAAGGUAGCGGCUUACCAAGGCAACGAUGCGUAGCCGACCUGAGAGGGUGAUCGGCCACACUGGAACUGAGACACGGUCCAGACUCCUACGGGAGGCAGCAGUAGGGAAUCUUCCGCAAUGGGCGAAAGCCUGACGGAGCAACGCCGCGUGAGUGAUGAAGGUCUUCGGAUCGUAAAACUCUGUUAUUAGGGAAGAACAAAUGUGUAAGUAACUAUGCACGUCUUGACGGUACCUAAUCAGAAAGCCACGGCUAACUACGUG